UACGUAGGGUGCGAGCGUUGUCCGGAAUUAUUGGGCGUAAAGAGCUCGUAGGCGGUGUGUCGCGUCGGCCGUGAAAACCUGGGGCUCAACUCUGGGCGUGCGGUCGAUACGGGCAUCACUUGAGUUCGGCAGGGGAGACUGGAAUUCCUGGUGUAGCGGUGAAAUGCGUAGAGAUCUGGAGGAACACCGAUGGCGAAGGCAGCCUUCUGGGCCAACACUGACGCUCAUGCACGAAAGCGUGGGGAGCAAACAGG
rnacentral:rRNA from 1 species